rnacentral:rRNA from 1 species
UGCAGUCGAGCGGUAGAGAGAAGCUUGCUUCUCUUGAGAGCGGCGGACGGGUGAGUAAUGCCUAGGAAUCUGCCUGGUAGUGGGGGAUAACGUCCGGAAACGGACGCUAAUACCGCAUACGUCCUACGGGAGAAAGCAGGGGACCUUCGGGCCUUGCGCUAUCAGAUGAGCCUAGGUCGGAUUAGCUAGUUGGUGGGGUAAUGGCUCACCAAGGCGACGAUCCGUAACUGGUCUGAGAGGAUGAUCAGUCACACUGGAACUGAGACACGGUCCAGACUCCUACGGGAGGCAGCAGUGGGGAAUAUUGGACAAUGGGCGAAAGCCUGAUCCAGCCAUGCCGCGUGUGUGAAGAAGGUCUUCGGAUUGUAAAGCACUUUAAGUUGGGAGGAAGGGCAGUAAAUUAAUACUUUGCUGUUUUGACGUUACCGACAGAAUAAGCACCGGCUAACUCUGUGCCAGCAGCCGCGGUAAUACAGAGGGUGCAAGCGUUAAUCGGAAUUACUGGGCGUAAAGCGCGCGUAGGUGGUUCGUUAAGUUGGAUGUGAAAUCCCCGGGCUCAACCUGGGAACUGCAUUCAAAACUGACGAGCUAGAGUAUGGUAGA